rnacentral:rRNA from 1 species
UACGUAGGGGGCAAGCGUUGUCCGGAAUUAUUGGGCGUAAAGAGCUCGUAGGCGGUCUGUCGCGUCUGUUGUGAAAACUCGAGGCUCAACCUCGGGCUUGCAGUGGAUACGGGCAGACUAGAGUGCGGUAGGGGAGACUGGAAUUCCUGGUGUAGCGGUGGAAUGCGCAGAUAUCAGGAGGAACACCGAUGGCGAAGGCAGGUCUCUGGGCCGCAACUGACGCUGAGGAGCGAAAGCAUGGGGAGCGAACAGG